AUUGAACGCUGGCGGUAUGCUUAACACAUGCAAGUCGAACGGUAACAGGCCUUCGGGCGCUGACGAGUGGCGGACGGGUGAGUAACGCGUAGGAAUCUGCCUCAUAGUGGGGACAACGUGGGGAAACUCACGCUAAUACCGCAUACGCCUACGGGGAAAGCGGGGAGUCUUCGGACCUCGCGCUAUGAGAUGAGCCUGCGUUAGAUUAGCUAGUUGGUAGGGUAAAGGCCUACCAAGGCGACGAUCUAUAGCUGGUCUGAGAGGACGAUCAGCCACACUGGGACUGAGACACGGCCCAGACUCCUACGGGAGGCAGCAGUGGGGAAUAUUGGACCAAUGGGCGCAAAGCCCUUGAUCCAGCAAAUACCGCGUGUGUGAAG
rnacentral:rRNA from 1 species